rnacentral:rRNA from 1 species
CCCUUAGAUGUUCUGGGCCGCACGCGUGCUACACUGACCGGCGCAACAAGUUUCUUUCCUUGGCUCGAUAGGCCUGGGUAAUCUUUGAACGCCGGUCGUGAUGGGGAUAGAUCCUUGCAAUUUUUGAUCUUCAACGAGGAAUUCCUAGUAAAUGCGAGUCAUCAUCUCGCGUUGAUUACGUCCCUGCCCUUUGUACACACCGCCCGUCGCAACUACCGAUUGAAUGGUCCGGUGAAGCCUCGGGAUUGCGAAUGCUUCGUGCGGACGCGAGAACUUGGCUAAACCUUACCAUUUAGAGGAAGGUGAAGUCGUAACA